GACGAACGCUGGCGGCGUGCUUAACACAUGCAAGUCGAACGAAGUGGCGCACGGGUGAGUAACGCGUAAUCAACCUGCCCUUCAGAGGGGGACAACAGUUGGAAACGACUGCUAAUACCGCAUACUGAAGGUGGGGAUUGCGUCUGAUUAGCUAGUUGGGGGGGUAACGGCCCACCAAGGCGAUGAUCAGUAGCCGGGCGUGGAAGAAGAACCGCCAAAUUGGGACUGGGACAAGGGCCAGAACGCUACGGGAGGCAGCAGGGGGGAAUUAUCCGAAAUGGAGGGAAGGCUGGCGGAGCAACGCCGCGUGGGUGAUGACGGCCUUCGGGGUGUAAAGCUCUGUUAAUCGGGACGCGGUACCGGAAGAGAAAGCCACGGCUAACUACGUGCCAGCAGCCGCGGUAAUAC
rnacentral:rRNA from 1 species